rnacentral:rRNA from 1 species
GUCCACGGCUAUGCCACCCUGAACAAGCCCGAUCCCGGCUGAUCUCAAAAACUAAGCAGGGUCGGGCCAGGUUAGUACUUGGAUGGGAGACCACCAGGUGCUGUAGGCG